UGUGAUUGAGUUCCUCUAUCAUGAGUCUCGACUGAAUUAGGGUUAAGGUGAACUCGUCAAACCCAACAUCAGUCAUAUGAAUCAAUCGAUCGAUCCGAGUCUGAUGUGAAACCCCAAUGGAAAACUUUUUUUCUAUUAUUUCACUCUGUCAUGGCCAUGGGUUUAAGGACUCGAUCUUUUGAUCAUCAUAGGACUACUCCUCUCAUCUACCAAGGUUGAUAGAUCCCAUCUUGGUGUGACCU
rnacentral:lncRNA from 1 species